UUUUUUCUUUUACCUCAUUAAAUUCCAAUAUAAUCGUUAUCCACUUCAUCUGAGUGGUAUUGAUAGAAAAAUGUCAUUAAAAAAAAAAAACCCAUUUUCUGAAUUUUAUGAGGAAAAUGAUAUCGACUCGUGUGAAUUAUCCGAAACUCCUCUUCUGUAUCCGAAAAAACGCUUCACAAUAAAUUCUGAUAUAAUCGGAAUAUACAUAACCUGAAAGGUAUCUGAAGAAAUUUUCAUUAAAAAUUAUCCAUUUUUCUGGAAAUUAUGAGGAAAGAAAAUCGAGUGGUGUGCGCAUUUGUAUGUAGGUAUGCCAUAUUUAUUCUUUAUAACAAACAUUAUUAUAUUAUAAUAUCAUGAUUAUCAUUAUAAAAAUGUGAUGGUUUCCUUGUACUUACAAGGAAACGAAAUAACCAAUAGGACAAAUUACAUUAAACACAAAUAGAAAAUAUAAUUUUUUAAAAUUCAUAAUGUUAUUUAUAUAACAACGAGAAAACAUUUUAUGUUUCGAAGUGAUAGAUCAAUACUAUAUAACUCUGCAAAUAAUAAUAAUAAUAAUAAAAUUAAUAAGUCUAUAAUUGAAAGGGUGGGACUCGACCAUAAGUGCCGCUCUCUGCAGGUUAACUUAUAAAUAAUAACGGGUUGGAGAAUAUGAACACGUACUAUAUAUCGAAUACGGAGCGCAGCAAUUUCAGGAAAGUGGAAUUAACUUUACCUACACGGAUAUAUGGAUCAAACAAUCAAGGACAAAGUCUGAAAACUUGGGGAAAGGGACAAGUCAAUUACCUCGUUCAUAAUGCUCUCCUCACACUUAUUUUUUCGACCCCGAAAGGAUACCUUAAACAAACCUCAAAGGAAGAAAAAUGGGUAGACUACAUUUCACUCCUUAGAUUUCCAGUUUAUCUUCCUGCUCAGGAUGUGUUGAUUGAAUUUCAAAUGGAAGAAGGAUCUGCAAAUGGAAUGACAUUCAUCUCAAAUAUUGCUGCAUGUUGUCUGGAUGGAAUUAAACUAGUUUCUCAUUUAGACAUGGUUAUGUGAUUAAGAAGUUUACUUUGCAACCAUGUGGUUUUGGUUCAAGUCCCCACCAUGUGCCACUUUGGCAGAAAAAUUUAUUCCGAAGUGAAUUUAUUUACAGAAUGUUUCUUCAUCAUUACAAAUACAAGCCCUGGAAUUGUCAUCACUUGGAAAAACUGGAAUGACAGAUGUUGUAUCGUAUCCUUUUAGAUCGAAAAUAAACCAACGAAAUGAGAUUCCUCUUUUUGUAUAUUAUUACAUAAUAUUGGUUAAUUUACUCUGUUUCUCUCUGUGGAACUAUUAUUGUUUGGUGUAGCAUAUAAACUAACUAGCUUACGGAAAAAACUUCCUUUUAUAUUUAUUGUUAACUGUAGGAACGGUAAAUCUAGUGCAGAGAGCAGGUAACUGCUUUCCAUGCUGCCUCUAUAAAGUGGUGUUCAGUCGUCCGUUUCUGGAUAAAUAUAAAAUAUAUACUUUCAAAAUGAGCUUGCUCCAUUCAUGUUGGGACUGAACCAAGGUUUUAUGCAAUAAUGUAACCUGGACUAUUCUUGUUUGUUGAAAUUCCUUUACAUGGUUAAUCUACUUAACAAAAGUCUUUGAUAUUGUAACUUCCCACUUAAUUUUUAUCAGCUCUUUACAUCCCAGAUUCAAAUCCUGACUUUCAUCCCUCUGGGGUCGAUAAAAAUCUACCCAGUGAAAUACUAGGUCGAUUUAGUCGAGUAACCCGCUCCUCUACAAAUUACUGACUUAGUGCUAGCAGUUACUUAUUAUAGUAAAGUUUUGUUACAGUAAAUAGUUUUGGUUGUUAGAUGGAACCGCUCAAUAAUGCAUAAUAUGUUUUGGAGAAAUCCCAUGGGAAUUGUAGAAACCACUGAGUACUAGAAGGAAUAUCUAGCAGUAAUAUGGACGUACUUUUUCGUUACAAAUCGAAUCGACUCCGACUUUGGGAUGCAUCCCUUCAAUAUUAAUGAAUUUCAAACUUCUACUGAGAUCAAUUGUCUUCUACAAGUUUGUGACCUUGUGCUAAUCAGAGUAAUAUGUAUGAAAUUACGUUGGAAAUCCGGCGCAUAGAGCAUAAUUAUAUAAUAUAUAUUAUUUUUUCGAUUUUUUUUCUUUUGCUUUUCUUUUCACUUCAGAACCAAAUUUGGUAACCAGAACACUAGAGGUUUGCAUCGGGGAUCAAGAAAGACAAAACUGGUUUUCAUAAUGAUUUUGCAGAAUGUGUCAUGUUUCUGAGAUCAUUGUGAAAACUGGUUUUGUUACGCUCGACAACUUAAUGAGAUUUAAGAGUUUUCGGAGAUGAGAUAAAACUCUGUAUCCUUUUUUGUACGUUGCAUUUACCAUCGUAUUUUAUAUGAAAAUUUUGAAUUUAAUAAAACAAGUCGUAUAUUGAAUAAAUUUGCUCAUCCAGAGGAACGUGUGUUCCUUUUGUGAUUAUUUUUUUUCUCCCGAAAAGGGGUCUGAAUUUGCGUUUCACCCACAAAUUUAAUCAAAUUCAGGAAUUUUAUUAAUUUUUACCGAGGCUGACUGACACUUGUUGCCUUUCACUUCAGUUGUAAAAGACGAAAAUCAUAUGAAAUAAUUUUUCUUUGUUCUCUGUUUCGUUUCUGAUGCCUUGACAGUAUCUUCAACAACUUUUAAUGGUUGAAGCAACAUCUCUUACUUGCAAUGUUUUCUUAGUAAAACAAAUAUCAUUUCACACAUCAAAGCCGCGACUUGUGUGUUGCAAAUCAAUCUCUAUCUUAGGUCUAAGUCAAAUGCUUCAGUGACCAAUACAGCGUCAACACAAUUUAGAUACCUGAUGCAUAUUUUUCAUAUCUUGACAUAAAACA